rnacentral:misc_RNA from 1 species
UCGUAAAACCGAGGUGCCAGGGCUGUCGCUGACCUUUUUUGGUCGUGCACGCCCGAGUGCUCUCACACAAUCCAUCUCACCCCUUGUGCACCACCGCGUGGGUUUCCUUUCUGGCUUGUCCGGAAGGGGGGCUCGCGUUUUCACACAAACUUGAAGUAGUGUAGAAUGUCCUUUUUUUGCGAUAACACGCAAUCAAUA